AUGCUAAGCACGGUGUAUGAAUGAAUCUUGUGUGAGAAAGCAUGUUGUGUGAGGUUUUGAGCUCCAAAGUUUUUAGUGUUGUAUGCAUUAUUCACAAGAAAACAUGAAUGAUAUUGCCUUAAUCUUGAUCAAGGCCAUUUUUCAAAACCCUUCUCUAGCCAAAUUUUCACCUAAAGUGCUUGAAAAUAUUAUACCCUUUUUGAACCUUAGCCAUAAACAGGAUAUGAACCCUUGUCUUCAAAUUCGUUACCUUGAGUUGGGAUGAGCUUAAUUGUAUGCGAUGAAAAGGUUCAAGUUUGGGGUUGUGUGGGGGAAAUUGAAAGGCAAAUGAAAAGCAUUGACCUCAAAUGUUGUGAAAAGAAAAAUUCAUGAGGAAAAAAGAAAAGAAAAGAAGAAAAGCAUGAAGAUGAGCUCAAUGAAAAAGGAAAAGUUGGGAAUGAGUGAGAUUGGUGAGAAAGAGAGUUGUGCUUAAAUUUCGAAUACCAUGGUAGCUCUCUUAACUCAAGGACUUUGCAUUCCAGAAAAACCAAUUUUUCUUGUUAGCCCGACCACAUUACAUGCCUUGGAAAAGUCCUUUUGAUGAGUGGUAGUUUUGUUUCAUGUGACUUGUGAAUAAUAGAGAGUUGG
rnacentral:lncRNA from 1 species